rnacentral:rRNA from 1 species
UAGAUACCCUGGUAGUCCACGCUGUAAACGAUGAGAACUAGGUGUCGUGGGUGUUGACCCCCGCGGUGCCGCAGCUAACGCAUUAAGUUCUCCGCCUGGGAAGUACGGCCGCAAGGCUAAAACUCAAAGGAAUUGACGGGGGCCCGCACAAGCGGUGGAGCAUGUGGUUUAAUUCGACGCAACGCGCAGAACCUUACCCAGACUUGACAUGCCUGGAAGUUGGCCCAAAAGCUGACGUGCCCGCAAGGGA